rnacentral:rRNA from 1 species
UCGAUUCCCUUAGUAGCGGCGAGCGAAACGGGAAGAGCCCAAACCAACAAGCUUGCUUGUUGGGGUUGUAGGACACUCUAUACGGAGUUACAAAGGACGACAUUAGACGAAUCAUCUGGAAAGAUGAAUCAAAGAAGGUAAUAAUCCUGUAGUCGAAAAUGUUGUCUCUCUUGAGUGGAUCCUGAGUACGACGGAGCACGUGAAAUUCCGUCGGAAUCUGGGAGGACCAUCUCCUAAGGCUAAAUACUCUCUAGUGACCGAUAGUGAACCAGUACCGUGAGGGAAAGGUGAAAAGCACCCCGGAAGGGGAGUGAAAUAGAACCUGAAACCGUGUGCUUACAAGUAGUCAGAGCCCGUUAAUGGGUGAUGGCGUGCCUUUUGUAGAAUGAACCGGCGAGUUACGAUUUGAUGCAAGGUUAAGCAGUAAAUGUGGAGCCGUAGCGAAAGCGAGUCUGAAUAGGGCGUUUAGUAUUUGGUCGUAGACCCGAAACCAGGUGAUCUACCCUUGGUCAGGUUGAAGUUCAGGUAACACUGAAUGGAGGACCGAACCGACUUACGUUGAAAAGUGAGCGGAUGAACUGAGGGUAGCGGAGAAAUUCCAAUCGAACCUGGAGAUAGCUGGUUCUCUCCGAAAUAGCUUUAGGGCUAGCCUCAAGUGAUGAUUAUUGGAGGUAGAGCACUGUUUGGACGAGGGGCCCCUCUCGGGUUACCGAAUUCAGACAAACUCCGAAUGCCAAUUAAUUUAACUUGGGAGUCAGAACAUGGGUGAUAA